rnacentral:rRNA from 1 species
AGAACGAACGCUGGCGGCAGGCCUCAAACAUGCAAGUCUAGGGGGUGUAGCAAUACAUCACCGGCGGACGGGUGCGUAACGCGUGGGAAUGUACCUAUUGGUUCGGAACAACUGAGGGAAACUUCAGCUAAUACCGGAUGAGCCCGAAAGGGGAAAGAUUUCUCGCCAAUAGAUCAGCCCGCGUCCGAUUAGCUAGUUGGUGGGGUUAAAGCCUACCAAGGCGACGAUCGGUAGCUGUUCUGAGAGGAAGAUCAGCCACACUGGGACUGAGACACGGCCCAGACUCCUACGGGAGGCAGCAGUUGGGAAUCUUGGACAAUGGGGAAACCCUGAUCCAGCCAUGCCGCGUGAGUGAUGAAGGCCUUCGGGUUGUAAAACUCUUUCGACGGGGACGAUAAUGACGGUACCCGUAGAAGAAGCUCCGGCUAACUUCGUGCCAGCAGCCGC